rnacentral:tRNA from 1 species
GAAUAAGAAGCAAAAUAUUGCAUUCAGUUUCGACCUGAAAAUAUGGUAAAUAACUAUACCCUUAUUCU